CUUGGCCCUUAUCGAAGCCACCUUGCUCUCCUUUUGGUUGCAUGUGUGGUCAAAAAGGAGCCAAUAUUGAUCCUUCUCCUGACGGUCUCUAAUCCGUUUGGUAUGUAGCGGAACAGCAACAUUACAGGGAAGGACAGUC
rnacentral:snoRNA from 1 species